rnacentral:lncRNA from 1 species
GGAGUCAGCUGUGUUUUUACUUUCUGUUGUCGGCCGGGGACCGGCUUCUCUGUGGAUUCUUUGAAAUGAAAUAAUGUGAUGCACGCCGCGAUAAGGGCCGGCCGUAAUGAGGCCCAGGCCGCCGGGCGGGCGGCUGCGACCGCUCCAGGUGUCGCGCCUUUGAGCUCGGAGGAGCAGGGGAGGAGCGCGGGCGGCAGGGGAGGAGGGCGGAGAGGCGGCCGACCGCGGCUGCGUGGGAGUCCUCGGAUCCGGGUUCAAAUCCUGCCACCCCGACUGCGCCGAGGGAACCCAGGGUGAAGGUGAGGGUGCCACCCUCCUCCCGCCAGCGUGGCGCUGCGCCGGGGAGGAUUGUGCGGCUGGUGUGCGUGGGGCGAGAAAUCCUUUACCCGGAGGAACCCGCGCCGCCCGCCCUCUGGGCGUGGCACCUGCCAGCCCUUUCAUUGGAGGAGCGCAGCAGCCCCGCUCGCCGCUAGGAUUGCCACCUCCCUCGGCAGAGGAGGAGCCUGAGGGCCCGAGAGGUGAGGGGGCCGGCUCAGAGGCACCCUGUGAGAGCCAGAGGGCAGCCCUGGCCAGGAGCAGACGAGCCCGAAAGAGGGAAGGAGCCCAAGCAAGUGAAGGACCUCUCGGUGCUCCAGGCUGUGAGAGCUGCCGAGGUGAUGAGUGGAUCUGUGCAGGUGAUGGUGAGUAGCCCAGCAGCAUGGUGGGAAGAGAGUGACUGGGACUAGGGGAACAGGGCUCCAGGCCCAAGUUUGCCUCACUGGGCUCAGGCUUCCUGCCUCAGCACUGGGGGAGUAUGCCACGGUUUAACUGGAAGGUGAUCCCCCAAAGACUCUUGUAUUGGGGACGUGAUCCCCAGUACAGCAGUGUGUAGAGGUGGGGCCUGGAGAGGUGAUUGGAUCCCAAGGAUGCUAACUUUAUAUCAAUGGACUUAUCACUGACAAGUUCACAGCCCAGUGGGGUAUUAGGAGGUGGAGCCCUGUUGGAGGGAGGAGAUCACUGAGGGUGUGUCUUUAACGGGUACGCCUUGUCCCCAGCCCAUUCCUCUGCCUCUUUCCCUUUUUCUAUGCUUCCUGUGCCAAGGAGCGAGCAGCUUUCCUUUCCCAGCCCUUCUGCUAUGCUUCUGCCUUGCCACAGGCCUCAAGCAACGGAGCCAGCUGAGCAUGGACAAAAAUCUCUGAAUCGUGGGCCAAAAUAAACCGUUCCUCCUCACAAGUUGUUUUUCACAGGUAUUUUGUUAUAGCAACGGGAAGAUGACCAACACAGGGUGGGACUCUAGGAGUUCUGUGACCUUCCCUAGCCCCAACUUUCCCAGCUGGGAAGAGGAGCCCAGAGAGGUCAGGCACCCCCACCCCAGGUCACACAGCAGGUCAGCGGGAGGCUGGCCAGGCACCUGGCCACUUGCCAAGUAUGUGGUGAUUGCUCUUUGUGCUUGGUGCCUCCAACCAGCAGUCUAACUUC